UUCACACGUCUGAGGCAAGCACUUUACCCAUGAGGCCAUCUCUUUGCUCCACCACACCCCCAAAACUUUUCUUUCAGGAAUGGCUCUUUUCUCACCUCACCCAUAAUGCUGGCAAAGUCCUUGUGUUCUGUGUGUCUCAUUGGUAGGUAAAGCUGGGACACAGCGUUCUGUAUGUUUACUCUGUGCUGUUCCUUGUACUGCCUCACAGUACAGGCAAUCAUUAAGGUACAUGAAGACCAGGAACAAGCCUUGUCCUGACGCCAUAACCUCUCGGUGGAUCCGCACAUGAACUCACUUGGCUAAAGCAAGAAUUCCAAAAAGGCAGGUGUGCGAUUGCGCUAUGUCCUGCUUCAUUAGGAUUCCGAAGUCUUCCAGCUGCACGUGGGAUUACCUGUGGUUACUCUGGCAGGAUUUCUCUUCACCUUUGAGAACUUCUUAGAUGCAGAACACACCACAUGGAAGGCCUGUGACAAACUUGGAAGCAAAUGACUGCAGUGCAAACACAACUGAAGUCUCUGAGGAGGGGGCCGCUGACCUACACACCAAAGCAUCUACCAAGGCCCUGAACUGGCCACUAUGAUUGUAACUGCCUCAGCACUGAGGUAGUGACCUUCAAGACUGGAAUGAGCCUGGAGACAUUUGAUACUUUACUUUGAGAUUUUAAAGUUUAUGAACAGCCCACGGUCACACCAUUGACUACACAACUUUCACUGGACUACACCACUGGACUUUCACAACCACUGGACUACAACCUUUCCAGAGAUGAAAAUUUCAGAAGACCAAAGCUACCAAACAAGGCAGCACCCUUACCAAUUUUAGCUGGUGCUGAUGGUAGAAACCACCCGAUAUUUUUAAAUGGAAAUGAAAAUA
rnacentral:lncRNA from 1 species